AAGAAGAAUUGGAGAAUCAGAGAAAGUGGAAAGCAGAAAGAUGUGUUUAGCUCACAGCGUAGGACCUCUCUCUAUGAUGAUCUGACCUGCUGAGGCAUGGACUCUACUAGACUUCUGAAAGUGCCCUGUGGUAUCCAACACUAAGACAUUAACAGCAGAUCCUUUAAGUCCUGUAAGUUGUGAGGUGGAGCCACCUCAUAUUGGACUUAUUGUCCCGGCACAUACCACAGAUGCUGGAUCAGAUUGAGAUCUUGGGAAUUUGGAGUCAAGGGCAACACCUUGAGCUCUGCUACAUGUUCCUCACACCGUUCGCAAACAGUGUAUAGUGUGGAAGGGGGCACUGUUCUGCUAAAAGAGGCCACUGUCACUGGGGAAUACCACUAAGGAGUGUACUUGAUCCACAACAAUAUUUAGGUAGGUGGCACGUGUCAAACUGAUGCCCACAUGAAAGGCUGGAUCCAGGGUUUCCCACCAAACCAUUGACCAAAGCAUCACACUCUCUUCGCUGUCUUCCCACAGUGCAUCCCGGAGUCAUCACAUCCCCAGGAGGGGUAUUUUUAUUGGAACAAAAAGUAACAGAUCCUGCCUUCCGCCCGAAGACUGCUGGGAUAGGCUCCAGCACCCCCCCCGCGACCCUGACGGAGAAGCGGAUUAGAAAAUGGGUGGAUGGAUGGAAAAAGAAUAAAUGUUACCAUUGCAAAUGGAGCUAACUCCUGCACUCAAAUCAGUACCACUUGCCUGUUCUUAAAACUAGAAUACUGAAAGUUAUUUGGGUGCAUGAAUGAGCUUACCAUGAAGUGCUGUUCUUGUGUAAGGCCCCCUGAAACAUCAUUACAUUUUUCGUGUGGGGGGGAUAGGGAUCACUCAUAAAUAUGAGACUGAUGAAGCUGAAGUGCAUUUCUUUAGAUGGUGAAAACUAGCAGCAGCAGUAAAAGAAUCUGCUUUGAAAACAUGAUCCUAAAUUUCUCCCACUUGCCAGAAUAGUGUGCAAUUACUUUGACAUGAUUGCCUUGUUGUUUUUGUUUUUUUAUGGUUUUCACAUAUUGAUCGGUUGUUUUGUGAAAAUUGCAGGGUACUGAGCCUGGAAGGAGGAGUAGAAUGGAUUAGAAAACUGCAGUGAAGGUUUCACAGAGAAAUGAAAGAAGGGAGCUGAGGCACUGAGAGUAAAAGAGAGAAGCAGGGGGCAAAGAGCCACACAGGCACAGUACUUAAGUUGUCAGCAUUGGGGAUAACUGGCAUUGCAGUGCUAACUGUGUGGGUUUAUGCUCACACACACACACACACACACACACACACACACACACACACACAGUUUCUUGCUCUCUGACUUUGUUUCUCUGAGGCCUAGUUGAGGCCGUGUCAGCAGCAGCUCUUAUCGGGGUGAGUUAUGGGCCUGUCUGCAGUAAUGGUCUGUCACACACUCUGCCUGCCAGCUGUCUGACUUGCUCUUCUCCUACUUGGUCAUACCACAUAAGCAGCUCUGCCACUGACCACUCACCAAGACACACAGAGAGAACAGAGAGAAAGUGUAGAAAGAGAGAACAGAGUUUGAGUUAGCAUGAUUAUGCAUUCUCAGGAAGUAUUUGUUCAUUAAUAACACAUUGUUUUACCUGUAUUUUUAUAUAGGCAAAUUUUCCCCAUCAGUUUGAACUCAUUUGGUGUUAAAAAUAACAGGGCACAGGGAUGUGUCUGUUUAAAGACAUGGCGUGUUAUUUUAACACUGUUUUAACGCAUUUGAUCUGAGAGUGUGCUUAUGGAUCAUUUUACAGAAUUAUUAAGUCAACAUUUUGGACUUUUAACUGAUUUGAACUUUAGACUUAAAUGCUUUUGCUUUGAUUGACCCAGUGCCUUAAUUAUGAUUAUUUUAUUAAAUUAAGUGAUUGAACAUUCCAUUUUGUCACUACCAAAACAAUCAUAACACCACUGAAA